CCUACGGGAGGCAGCAGUGAGGAAUAUUGGUCAAUGGACGAGAGUCUGAACUAGCCAAGUAGCGUGAAGGAUGACUGCCCUAUGGGUUGUAAACUUCUUUUAUAUGGGAAUAAAAUGUUCCACGUGUGGGAUUUUGUAUGUACCAUAUGAAUAAGGAUCGGCUAACUCCGUGCCAGCAUCCGCGGUAAUACGGAGGAUCCGAGCGUUAUCCGGAUUUAUUGGGUUUAAAGUGAGCGUAGGUGGAUUGUUAAGUCAGUUGUGAAAGUUUGCGGUUCAACCGUUAAAUUGCAGUUGAAACUGGAAGUGUUGAGUACAGUAGAGGUGGGCGGAAUUAGUGGUGUAGCGGUGAAAUGCUUAGAUAUCACGAAGAACUCCGAUUGCGAAGGCAGCUCACUGGACUGCAACUGACACUGAGGCUCGAAAGUGUGGGUAUCAAACAGGAUUAGAUACCCCUGUAGUC
rnacentral:rRNA from 1 species